rnacentral:misc_RNA from 1 species
UCGUGUCAUUUACGAACAUCUCAGCAAAGAAGUGGAUCUUACUUGUCUGAGUGAUUAAUGAAGAGAUCCAGAUUUUCAAAGCACACCACUGCUAUUUGAGCCAGAUUGCUGUCUGUCAAUGUAAAGGUACAAGUAAUAUUUCUGAUCUGUGCAGCUGCUGACCUUGUAAAGUUAAGCUAUGGAGCCACCACCAAGGAAGGAAAAUCAGGACAGUGAACAUGAAAGUACCACAGCCACAGAUGAAAGUUAUGUAAAAUCCUACAAUGUACCACUGGCUUUUGAUUGUGACACGUUAUCAGCAAUUGCAAAGGUGUAUCUCGAGGAAGGCGACGAAGAGUACAAAAAGGGACACCUUCAGAGCGCAAAACACUUCUACACUGAAGGACUUCAAGUCAACUGCAGCGAUGAACAUUUAAAUGCCGAGCUUUACUGCAGAAGAGCAAAAGUACAUUUCUGUUUGGGAAAUUACCAAGAAACUCGAGUUGAUGCAACAGUUGCUGUUCAGUUGGCACCAACUUUGCUUGAGGCCAUAGGAUACGGAGUCAGGGCUUGUAUGGAGUUACAGUUAUAUGAGGAGGCCUCUAACUGGUGUCUGAAAGGACGAGCAUUUGGAAAGCACCAUACUACAUUACAAACAAUCGCAGACCAUGAGCGCGAUCUAAAAAUUGCUAAAUCAGUAGGAGACAGAGUUGGAGAAGGGCGAGCCAAUGAAAAUCUUGGCAAUUACUAUGAUAGCAUCGGCGACUUUAAAAAGGCCGUCGAGCACCAUGAGCGUCACCUAAAUAUUGCUAAAGAACUUGGAGACAGAACUGGAGAGGGAGUAGCCUAUGAAAAUGUAGGCAAAAGCUACCACAGGCUUGGCGAUUUUAAGAAGGCCAUUAAGCACCAUGAGAGUCUUCUAAAAAUUGUUAAAGAGUGGGGAGACAAAGUAAUGGAGGGACGGACCUACGGAAAUCUUGGCAAUAGUUAUUGUAGUCUUGGUGCUUUUAAGAAGGCAAUGGAAUACUAUGAGCGUCAACUGAAAAUUGCUAAAGACGAAGGAGACAAAGCUGGAGAGAGACUGGCCUAUGCAAAUGUUGGCAAUGGCCAUCUAAUCCUUGGCGAUAUUAAAAAGGCCAUUGAGCACCAUCAGCGUCAUCUAAAAUUAGCUAAAUCAGUAGGAGACAAAGCUGGGGAGGGACAGGCCUAUGGAAAUCUUGGCAAUAGCUAUUACAGCCUUGGCGAUUUAAAGAAGGCCAUCGAGCACCAUGAGUGUUGUCUAAAAGUUUGUAAAGAAGUGGGAGACAAAUUUGGAGAGGGAGGAGCCUAUGGAAAUCUUGGCGUUGGCUAUCGUAGGCUUGGCGAUUUCAAGAGGGCCAUUGAGCACCAUGAGCGUCGUCUAAAAGUUGCUAAAGAACUUGGAGACAAAGCUGGAGAGGGACGGGCCCAUGCAAAUCUUGGGCUUGGCUAUCAUGGUCUUGGCGAUUUCAAGAGGGCCAUUGAGCACCAUGAGCGUGAUCUAAAGAUUGCUAAAGAAGUGGGAGAUAAAGCUGGUGAGGGAGUGGCUUAUGCAAAUCUUGGCAUUAGUUAUGAAAGCCUUGGCGAUGUUAAGAAGUCCAUUGAGCUCCAUAAGUGUCAUCUAAAAAUUGCAAAAGAAGUAGGAGACAAAGCUGGAGAAGGAGGCGCAUAUGGAAAUCUUGGCAAUUGCUAUCAUAGGGUUGGCGAUUUUUGGAAGGCCAUUGAGCACCAUGAGCGUCAUCUAAAAAUUGCUAAAGAACUAGGAGACAAAGCUGCAGAGGGACAUGCCUGUGCAAAUCUUGGCUUUGUGUAUGAUAGCCUUAGCGAUUUUAAGGCCAUCGAGCACCAUGAGCGUCAUCUAAAGAUUGCUAAAGAAGUCGGAGAUAAAGCCGUAGAGGGAUUAAUAUCAACUAAUCUUGCUCAGGUCUUUGAAUAUCAGGAGUUUGCUUUGAAAGCUAUCAGUUUUUAUAAUUCCGGUUUGACAAAGUAUGACGAAGUUAGAGCUCAACUCCAGUUUAAGGACGAGUGGAAGAUUAGCUACAGCGAAACCUACAACCUUGCCUAUAGACAAUUGUGGCGUCUUUAUUUAAAGCAAGGUCAGGUUCUUAAUGCCUUGCGUACUGCUGAGAGAGGACGGGCGCAAGCCUUACGGGAUCUCAUGGAGAUGAAAUAUAUUUCUAGAGGAGAACACUUUUCUUGGUUUUCUUCCUCACUUAAAUCAUCCGUCUUCAACUUUAGAUGCCUUCCAACAACAACAGUUUUUAUGGCAAUUAGUGAGGAAGAAAUUGUCUUCUGGGUUAUACACAGCGAUAAUAAAGUCGACCUGAGAAGAAAAGAGUUAAAUGACUGCGUUUCAGAAAAAGACGUAAGAGAGCUCAUUUCGACUCUAAACCAUAAUGCUCUUGAAGAAAUUGGUGCACGAUCUGCCAUUACUUGUGAAAAUCGCUCACUAUAUGAGAAUCGCAAUCAGGGAUCGACAACUGAAAGGGCUCCUGCCAGUGUGUCUCGCUGUGCUCUACCAAAUGAAAGCUUUAGGAAAUUGUAUGACAUCAUCAUUGCUCCUAUUGUUGACCUGGUUCGCGGAGAUGACUUUAUCUUUGUACCCGAAGGUCCGCUUAGUUUGGUCCCCUUUGCUGCACUGGUUAACCUGAAUAUGCAGUAUUUGUCGGAAACGUUUAGGAUCCGUGUGAUUCCAUCCCUGAGCACCUUGCAGUUAGUUACUGAUUGUCCAGAAGACUUCCACAGAAAGACCGGUGCUCUACUUGUGGGAGAUCCGUACUUAGAGGAAGUUCUUUUCAAGGGGAACAAGCUGUGUCAGUUACCAUAUUCAAAGAAAGAAGUAGAGAUGGUCGGGAAAAUCCUCGAUGCCUCUCCUCUCAUUGGAAAAAAGGCAACUAAAGAUGAAGUUUUAAAGCGACUCUCCGCGGUUGCUUUAGUACACAUCGCCGCACAUGGUGCAAUGGAGACAGGAGAAAUCGCCUUGGCACCAAACCCUACUCGAGAAAGCCAUCAGCCUGAAGAGAAAGACUUUUUACUGACAAUGACAGAUGUGUCAGAAGCUGAUCUACGGGCAAGACUGGUUGUGCUUAGUUGCUGCCAUAGCGCUCGUGGAGAAAUAAAGGCAGAAGGGGUAGUUGGCAUUGCACGAGCAUUUUUAGGUGCUGGUGCUCGAUCCGUCUUGGUGUCCUUGUGGGCGAUUGAUGACGAGGCCACUUUCCAGUUCAUGAAACAUUUCUACGAAGAAUUGGUGAAAGGAAAGAGGGUCAGUGAAGCUCUUAACCAGGCCAUGCGAAGUAUGAGAAAGUCCGAAACUUUCAAGGAAGUUAAGUACUGGGCGCCCUUCGUUCUUAUUGGGGAUGAUGUCACUCUGGAACAUAGCCGAUCAGGCCAAAGAGAUGUUGAUGCUUUUCAAAGUGGAUCCUAUUGAAGAAGCUGUCCACAAACCAGAUUGGAGUUAAAUUGGCCCGCCUCCGAGUUAGAUUAAUUUAUGAGUAUACUUUGUUAUUUUAAACGCAUUAAUCAUGGUGGACCGCGUCGUAAAUAAUAGUCAAAGUAUUUUGGUAAAUAUUCAGAAACGCUUUCUUUUAAAAGCGUUUAAUCUUUAGUCGCGAUUAGAGUAAUUGUAAGAGCAGAUAAUUUUAGCUUUGUAUUAUAUGCCUAAUCAAAACGGACCAGGAACUCAGUUUUCAUUUCAUGUAUUAUAUCUGAACAAUAUCAUAACGCAUUUUGGUGAGAAAUUCUUUUAAAAAACUUAACUGUGUCGUAAUAAGAAUAACGACUGGUCAUUUAGGUUUUUUUUUUAGAUUGAUUGGACGCUUUUUGAAAUAUUAAUUUGCAAAGAGGACUUGUUUUUUACAUGUUGCACAUACAAGUCGGUAGCUCAAAUGCGACGUAGACGUAGUUUCACAAUACCAUUUGCUUUUACUCAUUCAACCGAAUAUGUACGAACGUGCAGUCACAUCAGGUGUCUUAAUGACAUCAAACGGCAGACUUAAAUUUUAUCAUUUUGAAAUAUGAGAGAUUCCAAAACUUUCUAGGAAGUUAAGUACUAGGCGCCUUCAUUCUCAUUGGGGAUGAUAUCACACUGGAACUGAACCGACCAGGCCAACGAGAGGUUGAUGCUUUUCAAAGUGGAUCCACAAACCAGAAGCUGUCCACAAACCAGAUGAGAAUCGAAUCAGCCCGCCGCCGAGUUAGAUUAGUUUAUAGGUGUACUUUGUUAUUGUGCAAAAGCAUUAAUCAAUUCAGAAUUUUAUGAUAACCAAGGUUUUUUUGGUAAAUAUUCGGAAACGCUUUCCCUUGAAGUCUUUAAUCUUCAGUCGCGAUUGGAGAAAUUGUAAGAGUAGACAGUUCCAGCUUUGUAUUAGAAGCUUAAUCAAAACCAAUCAGGAAAUCAGUUUUCAUUUCACAUUUUGUACCUGAACAAUAUUAUAGAUCACUUUGAUGAGAAAUUUUCGCAUAAUUUUAAAAAACUGUAUCGUAAAAAGACCUAUGGCCAGUCAUCUAUAUUUUAAAAAAAUUAAGUAGACACUUUUUGAAAAAUAAAUUUGGAAAGAAACAGACAUGUUUUUCAUAUUUUACACAGACAAGUCAGUAGCUCCAGUGUGACGUAGACGAUCUAGAUUAAUUUCACAACAGCAUUUUACUUUUCUCACUUAACGAAUAUGUAGGAACGUAAUGUUGCAUCAGUUGUCUUAGACUUAAAUUUUAUUUGGAUAUGUGUCGCGAUUUCUGAUCUCAAAAUCUUGGUGUUAAUUUUUAAUGACAUGAUUAAUUAAUUUAUACUUGAUUUAAGUGCAAAAUUGUUAACCAUAAGACUGAAUUAAACACGUUGCUUUGAAAGCGAA